rnacentral:rRNA from 1 species
GAGUUUGAUCCUGGCUCAGGAUGAACGCUGGCGGCGUGCCUAACACAUGCAAGUCGAACGGGAAUCUUCGGAUUCUAGUGGCGGACGGGUGAGUAACGCGUAAGAAUCUAACUUCAGGACGGGGACAACAGUUGGAAACGACUGCUAAUACCCGAUAUGCCGCAAGGUGAAACCUAAUUGGCCUGGAGAAGAGCUUGCGUCUGAUUAGCUAGUUGGUGGGGUAAGAGCCUACCAAGGCGACGAUCAGUAGCUGGUCUGAGAGGAUGAGCAGCCACACUGGGACUGAGACACGGCCCAGACUCCUACGGGAGGCAGCAGUGGGGAAUUUCCCGCAAUGGGCGAAAGCCUGACGGAGCAACGCCGCGUGAGGGAGGAAGGUCUUUGGAUUGUAAACCUCUUUUCUCAAGGAAGAAGUUCUGACGGUACUUGAGGAAUCAGCCUCGGCUAACUCCGUGCCAGCAGCCGCGGUAAUACGGGGGAGGCAAGCGUUAUCCGGAAUUAUUGGGCGUAAAGCGUCCGCAGGUGGUCAGCCAAGUCUGCCGUCAAAUCAGGUUGCUUAACGACCUAAAGGCGGUGGAAACUGGCAGACUAGAGAGCAGUAGGGGUAGCAGGAAUUCCCAGUGUAGCGGUGAAAUGCGUAGAGAUUGGGAAGAACAUCGGUGGCGAAAGCGUGCUACUGGGCUGUAUCUGACACUCAGGGACGAAAGCUAGGGGAGCGAAAGGGAUUAGAUACCCCUGUAGUCCUAGCCGUAAACGAUGGAUACUAGGCGUGGCUUGUAUCGACCCGAGCCGUGCCGAAGCUAACGCGUUAAGUAUCCCGCCUGGGGAGUACGCACGCAAGUGUGAAACUCAAAGGAAUUGACGGGGGCCCGCACAAGCGGUGGAGUAUGUGGUUUAAUUCGAUGCAACGCGAAAGAACCUUACCAAGACUUGACAUGUCGCGAACCCUGGUGAAAGCUGGGGGUGCCUUCGGGAACGCGAAACACAGGUGGUGCAUGGCUGUCGUCAACUUC